AGAAGCGCCCAUCAUCAUCCAGCUGAAACCAUCGGUCGAUCGCUCGCCGGACACGCACGCGCACGUCGGAGGUGGUUGAUCGAUAGAUAGAUAGGUGAUGGAGAACGACAGGAACAACCAGGCUCCGCCACCACCCCCAGGUUACUACCCGUCGGCGGCUGCGGAGCAACGUCAAGCCGGUGGUGGCGGGAAGAAGUCACGCCGGGGGAGCACCAAAUCCAGGGGCGAGAAGGGAUUCGAAGGAUGCCUGGCGGCACUCUGCUGCUGCUGGAUCUGCGAGAUGUGCCGCGACUAACCGGCCGGCGAGGUCACUGCCGGCAAAAGACGUUGGUGCUAGUGCCUAUGAAGAACAUACACAUACAGAGAGUCGCUGCGUAAUUACAGUGUUUGUUCGUUUGUUGUUUUAGGUUCUGCGGAAGUAACCCUUGUGUUCGUGUGUGAUGUCCAUGUAGGCAUGUACCGUGCGUCACAACUAUAAUCAAUUUUAAGGCGCCAAAUUAUUGGGCUACUGUUGAG